UGAAUGAGAGUUAGUUGUGUUGGGUAGAUGAAUGUGAGCUAGUCGUGUUGGGUAGGUAAAUGCGUGUUAGUCGAGUUGGGUAGGUAAAUGCGUGUUAGUCGUGUUGGGUAGGUAAAUGCGUGUUAGCCGAGUCCCGUUGGGUAGGUAAAUGCGUGUUAGCAGUUGGGUAGGUAAAUGCGUGUUAGCAGAGUUGGGUAGGUAAAUACGUGUUAGCAGAGUUGGGUAGGUAAAUGUGUGUUAGCUGAGUUGGGUAGGUAAAUGUGUGUUAGCUGUAUGUAUAACAGGAGGAUCCUUACUAAGGCAUAUUGUGGUUGGGGAGUUUUAUUUAGUCCCCCAAACAAAGAUUUGGAACUCUGUUUUCACCUUUAUUCUUCUUCCUCCACUUCCUGCAAUAAAGGUUUCCAACACUUUUCUCGAAAAUUACGUGUCAGAUCUUGAACAAACUUUGAGGGAUUAUUGCUGAUGGCCUCUAGAUGUGCCAGCAACUUUUGUUUUUCCAAAAACUAUCCAAGAUGGCUCCCACAGCAUCUGAUUGGCUAAAACAUAACUUUUCUUCUAUUUUGGACAUCAGGAUGAAAAUUUGUAGAAUGGAUAAUUAUAAGACAUACUCCAAGAUGAGAAAAACAUGGACAUUGUCCACAAAAUGGCUGCCCAGUGGAGGCUUCUGAUUGGUCUAAAUUUUCCAAUUUGGUAAUGGUAUGUAGGUGUAUUAUGACAAUAAAACACAACUGUGACUUCUAUUUCUGGAUUUAAAAAAAAAAUGGCCACCACUUUUUGGCUUCUAAUUGGUUGAUAUUUAGUUAUUGUCUAAUUUUUCUGAAAUUUGGUACAAAAGAUUUUUGAAGGAUGCCUUAAACAGUUUUGAAUAUCUCAGUUACCAUGGUAAUGAGAUGGAGGCCUCUGCUUGGUCAAAAUUCAGAUGAAUGAUUUUACCGUAAAUUAGUUCAUAGGGGUUUUGAGGGAAACUGAACACAAUAGCAACAGUUUUAAAAGAAGGUUUGGUUGCUAUUGUAAUGAACUGGGAGCCUCUGAUUGGUCAAAAAUGUAGAUAUGGUGUGAUUUUGAUGAAAUUCUUAUGUAGGUGAUUCAUGAUACUACAAAUACAACUGUGACUUCCAUUUCUAGAUUAAAAAAAAAAUUGCUGCCAUUCUGCUAUCUCUUGAUUGGUGGAAGUUUACAUGUUUAAAGGUAUUAUAUGACUCGAGGAACAAUUUUGUGGUUUCUUUAAACUUCGUAUCAGUAGUUUGAGGAGCUUCUGUAAUGGGCUUUGUUACAAUUAACACUUGUUUUGUUUGUUUUUUAUGAUACAUGGAGAUCUGAGUUAUUGGGGAGUAUGUUUUGUACAUUCCAGCCCACUAUAGGUGAGGUGAAUAUGACAUGUGCAUGUUAGUGUAUAGGGCUAUUUAGCUGAUAAAUGUUGCCAAAAUAAUAUUGCAAAUCAUUAACAACCAUGGAACGAUUGUUUUGAGACACAACCAAAUGUUGAUUUAGGACCAAAGAUGUGAUGUACAUGUAUUUACACACAGUCAUUUUGUUGAUCUACCAACAGAGAAAUAUAAAUAAGAAGUCUGCAUGUCUUACUUUCCAAUAUAAGAGUUUGUAUUCUAUGGACCAUUGAUAUAAUAAUUAAGGGAGAUAAUCCUGUGCAUGACGAAAACCACCUGCAAGUCACAAGCUGCUGAAAUGUGUCAAAAUAAAUACCUGCCUUUUGGCCUCAUGAGAUUGUUUCAUCAUGUUGGCAAGCGCAGGAGGAAAAGAUCUUGGAAAGAUUUCAUUAAACCUCCUGAUAAUAACAAACAAGAUAUGAAUUCAAUUAUAUUUUUAUAGAACUUAAGUUCUAUUUUCAUAUAAUAUUAUAUAUGUAGAGUUUAUAAAAUAGUGAUUUUUUCAAUAAGCAAGUCUUAUUUUAAAUACUGAUAGUGAUGUUGUAUUAGAACUGGAAUAUUUAGAUUAUAGAAAGGACAGACUUUGUGACCUCUACCUGUCUGGGGCUGGUAUACCGUGGUAUAACUUAGCAGGACAGACUUUGUGGCCUAUACCUGUCUGGGGCUGGUAUACAGUGGUAUAACUUAGUAGGACAGACUUUGUGGCCUAUACCUGUCUGGGCUGGUAUACCGUGGUAUAACUUAGUAGGACAGACUUUGUGGCCUAUACCUGUCUGGGGCUGGUAUAACUUAGUAGGACAGACUUUGUGGCCUAUACCUGUCUGGGGCUGGUAUAACUUAGUAGGACAGACUUUGUGGCCUAUACCUGUCUGGGGCUGGUAUACAGUGGUAUAACUUAGUAGGACAGACUUUGUGGCCUAUACCUGUCUGGGGCUGGUAUACCGUGGUAUAACUUAGUAGGACAGACUUUGUGGCCUAUACCUGUCUGGGGCUGGUAUACAGUGGUAUAACUUAGUAGGACAGACUUUGUGGCCUAUACCUGUCUGGGGCUGGUAUACAGUGGUAUAACUUAGGACAGACUUUGCGGCCUAUACCUGUCUGGGGCUGGUAUACAGUGGUAUAACUUAGGACAGACUUUGUGGCCUAUACCUGUCUGGGGGUGGUAUAACUUAGUAGGACAGACUUUGCGGCCUAUACCUGUCUGGGGCUGGUAUACCGUGGUAUAACUUAGGACAGACUUUGUGGCUAAUACCUGUCUGGGGCUGGUAUACCGUGGUAUAACUUAGUAGGACAGACUUUGUGGCUAAUACCUGUCUGGGGCUGGUAUACAGUGGUAUAACUUAGUAGGACAGACUUUGUGGCCUAUACCUGUCUAGGGCUGGUAUAACUUAGUAGGACAGACUUUGUGGCCUAUACCUGUCGAGGGGUGGUAUACCGUGGUAUAACUUAGUAGGACAGACUUUGUGGCCUAUACCUGUCGAGGGGUGGUAUACCGUGGUAUAACUUAGUAGGACAGACUUUGUGGCCUAUACCUGUCUGGGGCUGGUAUACCGUGGUAUAACUUAGUAGGACAGACUUUGUGGCCUAUACCUGUCUGGGGCUGGUAUACCGUGGUAUAACUUAGUAGGACAGACUUUGUGGCCUAUACCUGUCUGGGGCUGGUAUACCGUGGUAUAACUUAGUAGGACAGACUUUGUGGCUAAUACCUGUCUGGGGCUGGUAUACCGUGGUAUAACUUAGUAGGACAGACUUUGUGGCCUCUACCUGUCUGGGGCUGGUAUACAGUGGUAUAACUUAGUAGGACAGACUUUGUGGCCUAUACCUGUCUGGGGCUGGUAUACCGUGGUAUAACUAAAGUAGGACAGACUUUGUGGCCUAUACCUGUCUGGGGCUGGUAUACCGUGGUAUAACUUAGUAGGACAGACUUUGCGGCCUAUACCUGUCUGGGGCUGGUAUACCGUGGUAUAACUUAGUAGGACAGACUUUGCGGCCUAUACCUGUCUGGGGCUGGUAUACAGUGGUAUAACUUAGCAGGACAGACUUUGUGGCCUCUACCUGUCUGGGGCUGGUAUACAGUGGUAUAACUUAGUAGGACAGACUUUGUGGCCUAUACCUGUCUGGGGCUGGUAUACCGUGGUAUAACUUAGUAGGACAGACUUUGUGGCCUAUACCUGUCUGGGGCUGGUAUACAGUGGUAUAACUUAGCAGGACAGACUUUGUGGCCUCUACCUGUCUGGGGCUGGUAUACAGUGGUAUAACUUAGCAGGACAGACUUUGUGGCCUCUACCUGUCUGGGGCUGGUAUACAGUGGUAUAACUUAGUAGGACAGACUUUGUGGCCUAUACCUGUCUGGGGCUGGUAUACCGUGGUAUAACUUAGUAGCACAGACUUUGUAGCCUAUACCUGUCUGGGGCUGGUAUACCGUGGUAUAACUUAGUAGGACAGACUUUGUAGCCUAUACCUGUCUGGGGCUGGUAUACCGUGGUAUAACUUAGGACAGACUUUGUAGCCUAUACCUGUCUGGGGCUGGUAUACCGUGGUAUAACUUAGUAGAACAGACUUUGUGGCCUAUACCUGUCUGGGCUGGUAUACUGUGGUAUAACUUAGGACAGACUUUGUGGCCUAUACCUGUCUGGGGGUGGUAUAACUUAGUAGGACAGACUUUGUGGCCUAUACCUGUCUGGGGGUGGUAUAACUUAGUAGGACAGACUUUGUGGCCUAUACCUGUCUGGGGCUGGUAUACAUUGGUAUAACUUAAUAGAACAGACUUUGUGGCCUGUAUAGGGAGGUAUGGCAUGUAUGCUGUCUGUCUGGGGCUGGUAUACCCUGGUAUGUUAUAUAAAUGUAGAAUUCUAUUUUACCAGAGACAGAUGCACUGGUGCAUUUCAGAUUAAAUAUAUAUAUAUAUACAUGAGUAGUUUUAUAGAUUGAUUAUAAUAUAGGCACUUAGAUAACAGAUUAUUUAUGGGCGUAUGUUGAACCAUACAGAUGUGGGUUGUGUCAAAAUGUUCAAAGUUGAUUGGAUGAGAGUGAUUAUUUUGACAGAGAUUUUUUGCCAAAGUGCUGAAAUAGAUGCUGUUUUGAGUUAUAUUUGAGUGUGUGUGGAUGGAGUGAUGCAAAUUUAUUGUAGACAACAAAUUUAUAAGUACAUGGUUUUAGUAUGGUGAUAACCUAGUUGUAAUUGAGCCAGUCCAGGGACUAGAUGUUCAAUGCCAGAUUGAUGAAAACAUAAAAUAGAUUUAAAAGUAUGUGUUUGACGGCAAGAUUUACUGAAGUACAUGUAUUUGUAAAUUUCUCGUAAUAACCAACCAUUGAAGGCUGGUCCCAUAUAUUCCUGUGACUGCUAUAUUGGAUCUAGUUAACCAUUGAAGGCUGGUCCCAUAUAUUCCUGUGACUGCUAUGUUUACUAUGACUUGUGAUCUCAGCCUGUUGCUAAUCCGACGUUGAACAGCUGGUCCCAGAGGUUUUGCGACUGCUACAAUUACUAGAUGGUAUUUCCAGGAAUCGAUGUACAAACAUAUGUACCCUGUCUGAGUCAUUAAACAGUGUCUUCCCCAUUUGCCUUGUGGAACACCUAUAGUGCUGUGUACACAGAAUAUUGCCAUACAUUUAAUGUUGUACCACUCAAAUGACAUUUUUAAAAGAAUCUGCAUUUUAUAAAGUUGCUGAAAUGAUUCUUUUUUCUUUUGGUCAUCAGGUUACUGUAUUAUGAAAAACUUGACAUUGUCAGUAAUUUUGUGUUGUGAUGGAAAUGUGUCAUAUCAAUGUAUCUGUUGUCAUGGAGUUAUACAUGUAUAUGUCUUUGUGUUAUAAAGAUGUAUGUUGUUGUCAUGGAGAAGUACAUUGUUGUCGUGGAGAUAUAUUAUAAUAUUGUUUUCAUGGAAAUGUACAUUGUUGUAUUAAGACAAAAUUGUUAUUGAGCACUGAUUGUACACAUCAUGACAGAUCUCAUCUUGUAUAAAUAGAAAAUGUAUCUUAUUGUAUCGCAUACAUGUUUUUAAAAGUUAGAAAGGUUGGACAUUCACCAGUCGAGUCAGAUGACUGGAAUGUAUAUAGAUCCUGUUUUUAGUUGUUAUCAUUUUGCACAAUUUGUUUACAUGUAUAUUUUGCUAAAAGCUUUUAUAAAUUUUAUAGAAAUUGUAUAGUAUUGUUUUUGAAGCUAAUUUUCAUUAUGUUUAUCACUGCCUUGGUGUUACAGAGGUUACUUCAGCACCAGGGUGUUAGAUUGUACAUACUGCACUAGAUAGAGACGUCCUCGUCUAUUCUCAACAGAUAGGGUGAUCAGGCUAAUAUAUACUGCCAUCCAUCAAUUCCUAGACACUACAAAACAUAUUUUGAAAUUCAAUUGAUCUGAUUAAAUAAUUGAAUAUUGUAAUUUUUGUCUGAUAACUUCUUACCAUCAUACUUCAAUAGUAUAUCAGUAGUUGUUGACAAUGAAAAUGCCGCACUUUUGCAAUAAUAUGUAUCUUUUAGAAAUUGUAAUUUAUAUAAAUUUAGAGCAUUUCUUUACAGAAUAAAAUUUAUCAAAAGGAUCCUUCUCAAGAAUGAAAUUUUAUGGUACAUAUGUUUAAAAUAUUUUUUAUAAAGUUUUGAAUAUCUUGGAAAAGAGGUGAUGGAACAUCAUGGAGGUUGGCUAUUUUCUUAACAAUUUGCUAGUGUCAUUGAAAAAUUAAGAAACUUCAAGAAAUUGCAAAGUUAAAAAUUCUUCGUUUUCUGAUAAUGGUGAUAAUGUACCAAGGAGUCAAAAGUGUAGGAUAGCAGUGUAUUUCAUAUGUAACAUUUAACUCAAACUUCCAUGUUAGUGGCCUGCACAUUUAUAUUUCGGUUUACUGAUGGAUCUUUAAAUUUUGUCCGGUGCCUAAACCUAUGACUGUCGAUCUCCUUCCUUACUCAUAUAUUAAGUGCUGCCAUAGCUGGUCUCUUUUUACAAGCUUGUGGUUUUGGUUGUCAUCAGGAUACACACUUUUUGUUAUUCCUUAACUACAUGUAAUCUUGUUACUUCAUUUUGGUGAGGGGUUAAUUUACAAUUUUGGGAUUCAAGCAUUAGCAGAGCAUGACUAACUGUGAUUUACCACACACAAAAUGUUGUUUUUCUUGAAAUUUCAUUUGUGAAAAUCUUUCUUUUACCCAAAUAUUUUACUUGAAGAUCCCCUGAAAUGUUAUUUUUGAAGAUUUUGACCUAGAUUACAGUUAAUAAGGCCUAUCAAAAUCUCCGACAACCAGGACAGUGCUCACUAACCUACCAAUUUUGUUAACUCGAGAAAAUUCUAACUUUACCUUCAGCUUGCUAAGUUUUAUAGGUGCUGGGGUUGUACGGAUGUCCCAACUGUAUACUACCUGUAUUAUACUGAAUCAUUAUCACUGUCAAGUGUUUAAACAACUAUGUAGAUACAGAUACUUUUUUGUCAUGGUAAUUCGUUUAAAUCAACAUUCCAUCUAUAAGAUGAACUAGGAUAAUGUGUCUAAAUUUACAUUCUAUCUGUAAGUUGUACUUGGAUGACGUGUCUAAAUUUACAUUCUAUCUGUAAGUUGUACUUGGAUGACGUGUCUAAAUUUACAUUCUAUCUAAGUUGUACUGGUAAUGUAUCUUAAUUUACAUUCUAUCUGUAAGUUGUACAGGUAAUGUAUCUUAAUUUACAUUCUAUCUGUAAGUUGUACUGGUAACGUAUCUUAAUUUACAUUCUAUCUGUAAGUUGUACUGGUUACGUACAUUUGUAUCUUAAUUCACAUUCUAUCUGUAAGUUGUACUGGUUACGUACAUUUGUAUCUUAAUUCACAUUCUAUCUGUAAGUUGUACUGGUUACGUACAUUUGUAUCUUAAUUCACAUUCUAUCUGUAAGUUGUACUGGUUACGUACAUUUGUAUCUUAAUUCACAUUCUGUCUGUGUUAGUGGGAGAGUAGUUAUAUAUUAAGUUACAGGAGAACUGAUCACUCUGAAAUAUCUUUAACAUUCAGUGACGUACAUUUCAAUAAAUAUAUUUUUUGUACAAAGAUUA